rnacentral:rRNA from 1 species
AGCAAGCGCACGAAGGCGUACACAGCUGCCGAGAACAAGCUUCUUUGCGAGUGUUGGCGAGACAUUGGACAAGACCCAAAGACGGGCGCCGAGCAAAAGCAUUCGACCUUUUGGACUCGUGUGCACCAAGAGUUUCAUGAGCGCAAGAAGUUUCCACCUUACCAAUUUGUCAGCAUGCGCGGGUGGGUCUCCAUUUCCAAGCGGUGGAGGAUGAUCCAACAAGAGUGCAACAAGUUUUGCGCCACCCUUGAGAGCGUCAAGGCCCGCCCCGUGAGCGGCAUCGGCAUGCAAUACAUGGUAUGA